rnacentral:lncRNA from 1 species
UAACUUAGUUAAUUAUUUUUAUUAUAUUUGCAUAGUAAAUUUUAUUUAACAUGUUAAUUUAAUGUUGGUAUCCAUUUCUUUGAAGGUCUAAAACUAAUUGAAUUUUUAAUAUAAAGAUUUAAAUUAAUCUAAAAAUUACACAAUUGGAAGCUCUCCAAUUCUACCUCUUAGACUUGUUGUCUGGCAUAGGUUUCAUCAAGUGGUGAAAUUUGGUCCCACAGGACGACAACCUCAAAUUGCUCUUUAGUCUCUCAUUUGGCAGCUUUCUUUUUUGUCCAUAGCUCUCUUCA